GACAGAGGUCCCGAGCGUUAGGCGGAAUCACUGGGCUUAAAGCGUGUGUAGGCGGAUCGUUAAGUACCUUGUGAAAUCCCACGGCUUAACCGUGGAACGGCUUGGUAUACUGGCGGUCUUGAGCCACUUAGGGGCUACCGGAACAAAUGGUGGAGCGGUGAAAUGCGUAGAUAUCAUUUGGAACGCCAAUGGUGAAAACAGGUAGCUGGGAGUGUGCUGACGCUGAGACACGAAAGCCAGGGAGCAAACGGG
rnacentral:rRNA from 1 species